rnacentral:rRNA from 1 species
CCCUUAGAUGUUCUGGGCCGCACGCGCGCUACACUGAUGAACGCAACGAGACCACCUGUACCGAAAGGCAUGGGUAAACUUGUGAAAGUUCAUCGUGAUGGGGAUAGAUUAUUGCAAUUAUUAAUCUUCAACGAGGGAUUCCUAGUAAGCGCGAGUCAUCAGCUCGCGUUGAUUACGUCCCUGCCCUUUGUACACACCGCCCGUCGCUCCUACCGAUUGAAUGGUCCGGUGAAAUCUUCGGAUUGCUGGAUAGGACUUCAUUGACCUAUCUGCGAGAAGUUGCUUGAACCUUAUCAUUUAGAGGAAGGAGAAGUCGUANCA